GUACGUAGGUGGCAAGCGUUGUCCGGAAUUAUUGGGCGUAAAGCGCGCGCAGGCGGUCCUUUAAGUCUGAUGUGAAAGCCCACGGCUCAACCGUGGAGGGUCAUUGGAAACUGGGGGACUUGAGUGCAGAAGAGGAGAGUGGAAUUCCACGUGUAGCGGUGAAAUGCGUAGAGAUGUGGAGGAACACCAGUGGCGAAGGCGACUCUCUGGUCUGUAACUGACGCUGAGGCGCGAAAGCGUGGGGAGCGAACAGGAUUAGAUACCCUGGUAGUCCACGCCGUAAACGAUGAGUGCUAAGUGUUGGAGGGUUUCCGCCCUUCAGUGCUGCAGCUAACGCAUUAAGCACUCCGCCUGGGGAGUACGGCCGCAAGGCUGAA
rnacentral:rRNA from 1 species